GGAUAAAGAAUUUGCAUUGCUUUGACAGAGCCAAGGAAGUAUAGUUCCACAGUUACAGUAAGCCACAUUUCAACUGAACAUCAGGAAAACCUUCCUAACUAUGAGAGCAGUACAACAAUGGAACCAAUGACCUAGGGAGGUGGUGGGCUCUCCAACACUGGAGACAUUCAGGAGGCAGCUGGACAGCCACCUGUCAGUUUGCUGCUUUGGUACCAUUUUUGCCCCUUCCGUUCUGGUUACUGGUUCUUUCUUCCUGAAUUAAUCAAACAGAUAAUCACAGCCAAUCAGGGAUUCUGCAAAAAUGGUUUGAUGUCACUACACACUGUGUAGCCAAUCAGAUUUGGCUACAUGACAGCCAAAUAAGAAUAAGAGCAAAUGUUCAAGCCUGGAC